rnacentral:rRNA from 1 species
CUACGUGCCAGCAGCCGCGGUAAUACGGAAGGUCCGGGCGUUAUCCGGAAUUAUUGGGUUUAAAGGGAGCGCAGGCGGGAGUGUAAGUCAGCUGUUAAAUAUCAGGGCCCAACUCUGUUAUGCAGUUGAAACUAUAUUUCUUGAGUACGCACAGGGAUGGCGGAAUUCAGGGUGUAGCGGUGAAAUGCUUAGAUAUCCUGAAGAACUCCGAUCGCGAAGGCAGCCAUCCGGAGCGUAACUGACGCUGAGGCUCGAAGGUGCGGGUAUCGAACAGGAUUAGAUACCCUGGUAGUCCGCMCAGUAAACGAUGGAUGCCCGCUGUUGGUACCUGGUAUCAGCGGCUAAGCGAAAGCAUUAAGCAUCCCACCUGGGGAGUACGCCGGCAACGGUGAAACUCAAAGGAAUUGACGGGGGCCCGCACAAGCGGAGGAACAUGUGGUUUAAUUCGAUGAUACGCGAGGAACCUUACCCGGGCUUGAA